GUGCUCUCUUAGGCAGCACGUACACUAAAACUGGAAUGAUACAGAGAAGAUUAGCAUGGUCCCAGCAAAAAGAUAAUUCAUAAAGCAUUCUACAUAUUU
rnacentral:snRNA from 1 species